GGAGAGGUGGCCGAGCAUGGUCGAAGGCGCUCGCCUGCUAAGCGAGUAAGGGGUUGUAAAGCCCCUUCGAGGGUUCAAAUCCCUCCCUCUCCGCCG
rnacentral:tRNA from 1 species